AGCAUAUCAAUAAGCGGAGGAAAAGAAACCAACAGGGAUUGCCUUAGUAACGGCGAGUGAAGCGGCAAUAGCUCAAAUUUGAAAGCUGGCCCCUUCGGGGUCCGCGUUGUAAUUUGUAGAGGAUGAUUCGGCGAGGGCUCCCGUCUAAGUCCCUUGGAACAGGGCGUCAUAGAGGGUGAGAAUCCCGUAUGUGAUGGGCUGCCUUAGCCAUGUGAAUCUCCUUCGACGAGUCGAGUUGUUUGGGAAUGCAGCUCUAAAUGGGAGGUAAAUUUCUUCUAAAGCUAAAUACCGGCCAGAGACCGAUAGCGCACAAGUAGAGUGAUCGAAAGAUGAAAAGCACUUUGGAAAGAGAGUUAAAAAGUACGUGAAAUUGUUGAAAGGGAAGCGCUUGCAGCCAGACUUGUCCGCAGUUGCUCAGCUUGUCUCCUGACAGGCGUACUCUUCUGCGGCCAGGCCAGCAUCAGUUCGGGCGGUCGGAUAAAGGCCCGGGGAAUGUAGCUCCUCUCGGGGAGUGUUAUAGCCCCGGGUGCAAUGCGGCCAGCCUGGACUGAGGAUCUCGCUUCGGCUAGGAUGCUGGCGUAAUGGCUGUAAGCGGCCCGUCUUGAAACACGGACCAAGGAGUCUAACAUCUAUGCGAGUGUUUGGGUGUCAAACCCAUGCGCGUAAUGAAAGUGAACGGAGGUGGGAACCCUCACGGGUGCACCAUCGACCGAUCCUGAUGUCUUCGGAUGGAUUUGAGUAAGAGCAUAGCUGUUGGGACCCGAAAGAUGGUGAACUAUGCCUGAAUAGGGUGAAGCCAGAGGAAACUCUGGUGGAGGCUCGCAGCGGUUCUGACGUGCAAAUCGAUCGUCAAAUUUGGGUAUAGGGGCGAAAGACUAAUCGAACCAUC
rnacentral:rRNA from 1 species